AUUGAACGCUGGCGGCAGGCCUAACACAUGCAAGUCGAACGGUAACAGGAAGCAGCUUGCUGCUUCGCUGACGAGUGGCGGACGGGUGAGUAAUGUCUGGGAAGCUGCCUGAUGGAGGGGGAUAACUACUGGAAACGGUAGCUAAUACCGCAUAAUGUCGCAAGACCGAAGAGGGGGACCUUCGGGCCUCUUGCCAUCGGAUGUGCCCAGAUGGGAUUAGCUUGUUGGUGGGGUAACGGCUCACCAAGGCGACGAUCCCUAGCUGGUCUGAGAGGAUGACCAGCCACACUGGAACUGAGACACGGUCCAGACUCCUACGGGAGGCAGCAGUGGGGAAUAUUGCACAAUGGGCGCAAGCCUGAUGCAGCCAUGCCGCGUGUAUGAAGAAGGCCUUCGGGUUGUAAAGUACUUUCAGCGGGGAGGAAGGGAGUAAAGUUAAUACCUUUGCUCAUUGACGUUACCCGCAGAAGAAGCACCGGCUAACUCCGUG
rnacentral:rRNA from 1 species